rfam:Guillardia theta CCMP2712 unplaced genomic scaffold GTITHscaffold_9, whole genome shotgun sequence.
GCCCCCGUGGCCCAAUGGACAAGGCGCCUGCCUACGGAGCAGGAGAUUCACGGUUCGAGUCCGUGCGGAGGUA